rnacentral:rRNA from 1 species
AGUCUUAACCGGGCGUUAAGUUGCAGGGUAUAGACCCGAAACCCGGUGAUCUAGCCAUGGGCAGGUUGAAGGUUGGGUAACACUAACUGGAGGACCGAACCGACUAAUGUUGAAAAAUUAGCGGAUGACCUGUGGCUGGGGGUGAAAGGCCAAUCAAACCGGGAGAUAGCUGGUUCUCCCCGAAAGCUAUUUAGGUAGCGCCUCGUGAAUUCAUCUCCGGGGGUAGAGCACUGUUUCGGCUAGGGGGCCAUCCCGGCUUACCAACCCGAUGCAAACUGCGAAUACCGGAGAAUGUUAUCACGGGAGACACACGGCGGGUGCUAACGUCCGUCGUGAAGAGGGAAACAACCCAGACCGCCAGCUAAGGUCCCAAAGUCAUGGUUAAGUGGGAAACGAUGUGGGAAGGCCCAGACAGCCAGGAUGUUGGCUUAGAAGCAGCCAUCAUUUAAAGAAAGCGUAAUAGCUCACUGGUCGAGUCGGCCUGCGCGGAAGAUGUAACGGGGCUAAACCAUGCACCGAAGCUGCGGCAGCGAACGUAUCACCCAAGACAACUUUGCGGAGUUGACGAUUGACGGAGCGAAGCGACGUCAAAGCGUUCAUUAAAGUCGAGUUGGCUUAGGGAUACGUU